rnacentral:rRNA from 1 species
UACGGAGGGAGCUAGCGUUAUUCGGAAUUACUGGGCGUAAAGCGCACGUAGGCGGCUUUGUAAGUUAGAGGUGAAAGCCUGGAGCUCAACUCCAGAAUUGCCUUUAAGACUGCAUCGCUUGAAUCCGAGGAGAGGUGAGUGGAAUUCCGAGUGUAGAGGUGAAAUUCGUAGAUAUUCGGAAGAACACCAGUGGCGAAGGCGGCUCACUGGACUGGUAUUGACGCUGAGGUGCGAAAGCGUGGGGAGCAAACAGG